rnacentral:rRNA from 1 species
GGGAUAGCCUUUCGAAAGAAAGAUUAAUACCCGAUGGCAUAGUUCUUCCGCAUGGUAGAACUAUUAAAGAAUUUCGGUCAUCGAUGGGGAUGCGUUCCAUUAGGUUGUUGGCGGGGUAACGGCCCACCAAGCCUUCGAUGGAUAGGGGUUCUGAGAGGAAGGUCCCCCACAUUGGAACUGAGACACGGUCCAAACUCCUACGGGAGGCAGCAGUGAGGAAUAUUGGUCAAUGGACGAGAGUCUGAACCAGCCAAGUAGCGUGAAGGAUGACUGCCCUAUGGGUUGUAAACUUCUUUUAUACGGGAAUAAAGUGAGGCACGUGUGCCUUUUUGUAUGUACCGUAUGAAUAAGGAUCGGCUAACUCCGUGCCAGCAGCCGCGGUAAUACGGAGGAUCCGAGCGUUAUCCGGAUUUAUUGGGUUUAAAGGGAGCGUAGGCGGACGCUUAAGUCAGUUGUGAAAGUUUGCGGCUCAACCGUAAAAUUGCAGUUGAUACUGGGUGUCUUGAGUACAGUAGAGGCAGGCGGAAUUCGUGGUGUAGCGGUGAAAUGCUUAGAUAUCACGAAGAACUCCGAUUGCGAAGGCAGCUUGCUGGACUGUAACUGACGCUGAUGCUCGAAAGUGUGGGUAUCAAACAGGAUUAGAUACCCUGGUAGUCCACACAGUAAACGAUGAAUACUCGCUGUUUGCGAUAUACAGUAAGCGGCCAAG